GUAACACUCGUAUAACAGAAUUUCCUAAGUACUACAAAGAUUAUUUGAUAAUUAAAAUUAUUUACUAUAAAAUAGGAAUAGAAAGGAAAGAAAUCUCCGAACACCGGAAAAGGAGGUUGAAGAAGUUGAAUUCGGUACAUCUAUCUCAUGUCUAUUUAUGAUAGUACGUUUUUAUAAACAGAAAUAUUUGGAAUAAUACCUAAU